UACAGAGGGGGCAAGCGUUGUUCGGAAUUACUGGGCGUAAAGGGCGCGUAGGCGGCCUGUUAAGUCGAACGUGAAAUCCCCGGGCUCAACCCGGGAACUGCGUCCGAUACUGGCAGGCUUGAAUCCGGGAGAGGGAUGCGGAAUUCCAGGUGUAGCGGUGAAAUGCGUAGAUAUCUGGAGGAACACCGGUGGCGAAAGCGGCGCGCUGGACCACUACUGACGCUGAGGAACGAAAGCUAGGGGAGCAAACAGG
rnacentral:rRNA from 1 species